CACUCAAUGUCAAUUACAAAAAUCAUUAUUAUGAUUUAUGAAUCACGGCAGAAAAACACGUUUAAGUUCUUUGUGUAUCAAACACUUUAUACCAUCAAGAUUAUAUUACGAAAGUCACCGAACUGUGGAAUCGCAUAAAAAAUUCGUAUAUCGGCCACUCUCACAAAUGUCUACGACCGCACCUACAUAUUUUUGCAUGCUUACAAUUCUAAUUUUGAACAGCCAAUCCGGUUCUUGGUAACAAUUAC